rnacentral:rRNA from 1 species
GACGAACGCUGGCGGCGUGCUUAACACAUGCAAGUCGAACGAUGAAGCCCAGCUUGCUGGGUGGAUUAGUGGCGAACGGGUGAGUAACACGUGAGUAACCUGCCCUGGACUCUGGGAUAACCCCGAGAAAUCGGAGCUAAUACCGGAUAUGACCUUUCCUCGCAUGAGGUUUGGUGGAAAGUUUUUCGGUCUGGGAUGGA